GAGGGUAUAGCUCAGUGGUAAAGUGUGUGCAUGCACGAGAUCCUGGGUUCAAUCCUCAGUACCUCCA
rnacentral:tRNA from 1 species